rnacentral:rRNA from 1 species
CGCGUAGGCGGUUCGGUAAGUGGGAUGUGAAAGCCCCGGGCUUAACCUGGGAACUGCAUUCCAAACUGCCGAACUAGAGUAUGGUAGAGGGAGGUAGAAUUUCCUGUGUAGCGGUGAAAUGCGUAGAUAUAGGAAGGAAUACCGGUGGCGAAGGCGGCCUCCUGGACCAAUACUGACGCUGAGGUGCGAAAGCGUGGGGAGCAAACA